CCUACGGGAGGCAGCAGUGAGGAAUAUUGGUCAAUGGGCGCGAGCCUGAACCAGCCAAGUAGCGUGAAGGAUUAAGGCCCUGCGGGUCGUAAACCUCUUUUGCCGGGGAGCAGAGGUCCGGACGUGUCCGGGCCGGGAGAGUAACCGGAGAAAAAGCAUCGGCUAACUCCGUGCCAGCAGCCGCGGUAAUACGGAGGAUGCGAGCGUUAUCCGGAUUUAUUGGGUUUAAAGGGUGCGUAGGCGGGCAUUUAAGCCGGCGGUCAAAUGUCGGGGAUCAACCCCGGCCUGCCGUCGGAACUGGGUGCCUUGAGUGGGCGAGAAGUAUGCGGAAUGCGUGGUGUAGCGGUGAAAUGCAUAGAUAUCACGCAGAACCCCGAUUGCGAAGGCAGCAUACCGGCGCCCUACUGACGCUGAGGCACGAAAGUGCGGGUAUCGAACAGGAUUAGAUACCCUUGUAGUC
rnacentral:rRNA from 1 species